AAGUAUAUCAAAAACUAUAAAUUGCGGAAUCACGCUAAGUUGAUCGCUUUUUCUCAUCAGUUAACGUGCGCUGAGUAAAUAUGAAGUUUUUCAUUCCUGCGUUGAUUUUCCUAAGUUUGGCGGUGUUUGUUUCAGAAGUGUUUGGACAAGCCCCAGGAACUGCGGGAGGUUUUUGCAAAUUUGCAGGUGUAGCAAUUAUAGGAACUAAGUGCGCAGAAACUUGCUACAUUUUACCAGCGCUGGCUAAUUGCGACGGUCCGCUGAAAUGUUGUUUGGGCGGAUGAUGCUGGAGACACGUUGUAAUAAAACAACAUAAUUUGAACAUUUGGAAUAAAAUUAGUACAUUUUAAUGGCUCUUUCAUUAUUUUGAUAUGUGCAUUCCAUUUUUCGGUAAUACUCUUGAAGGUUGUAUUGAUGUGACCUUACCGGAAGAUUUCUCGUGGUGUGAGGCUUUAAAAACAUACCUUAUCAAUGUAGGGAGAUAAAAAUUGUCUUUAUCCCCAAAACCUUGCAAAAUCGACUACACCUAAAGCUUAUCGCCCAAUCAGUUUCAUGUCUUUUCUUCUUAAGACACUUAAAAGAAUGUGCGCUAGAUAUGCAAGGGAGAAGGCGCUAACACAGUUUCCGCUGCACCCUAACCAAGACGUAUAACUACCUAGGAAGGUAUACAGAGUCAGCCCUGCGGUGCUUCGUAGCCGUAGGGCGGAUUGAGAGAUCGCUAGACUAUAAACAGUCCACACUGAUUUGCUAAAAAAGACAUUCCCGAGUCGAGCUAAGACAACUCCUUUUCUAUCGCUUUCGGCCCACUUCUUUUUAAAUGUAGAAUGCAGUUUUAGUUCUCUAACUGUCGUUGCAGUCUUCCGAUGGUGACAAUUGUAAUUUUUUAAAGACAUAUCCUUACUUAUGAACCGAAAUGCAUGAAUUUCAAACUGGGAAUAGCCAGUAUCAUAUUAUAAUAUGCAAUUCAAAACUGUAAGUCCACUCAAAUUCAAUAAACUCACACCAUUUGGCCUUCCCGUCAUUUAUUAAUCGAAUUUCAUGAAAUUGAAACUGGGCAUAGCCAAUAGCAUAUCAAAUGUUUGGAAUGCUUUGGAAUUUUUGAUUAGGUAUCGUCAGAGUGGCUUCUCUUGCAUGUUCUAGUGUUAGCAUAUUCAAAUGAUGUCUUUAUCCAAAAACAAGUCCCGCCAGGGACAACACGACCCUAACCAAGAUGCCACGUGCGGCAUCCAUUGAACCGAAUAUGACCUUCGGUUCAGAAGGUCUGCAAUGAAAGAGAUAUGGUCUACGCAAUAAAGAUAAAGAUCGUAAUUUUCCUUAUUUAGGUUGAGGACUCCUAUAUUCGGCGCCGCAAUACGUUAGUGAAACGUUGCUAUAUAUACGACCCUACAUAUAUUUGGAGGUACUAGCAGAUACUGCUCUCAAAACAGGGUAGCAAAAAAACGCUAAAUUAAUCACUUUUGAUUGUUUCGUCGGGCGUUAAGCGGUUAACGUGCGCUACGUAAUCAUGAAGCUUCUCAUAUCUGCCCUGAUUACCGUAAGUUUGUCAGCGUUUGUUUUAGAAGUGUCUGGACAAGCCCCAGGGACCGAUGGAGGAUUUUGCUUUUUUUCAGGUAGUAAACCAAUGAUAGGAACUAAGUGCUUAGCAACUUGUGCCUUUAUGCCGGCGCUGGGAAAUUGCGUCGAUCCGCUAAAAUGUUGUCUUUUCGGAUGAUACUGGAGACACUUUGUCGUAAAACAAUCUUAUUUGAACAUUUGCAAUAAAACAAUUACAUUUGC